UACGGAGGGGGCUAGCGUUGUUCGGAAUUACUGGGCGUAAAGCGCGCGUAGGCGGACCUGCAAGUCGGGGGUGAAAGCCCUGGGCUCAACCUAGGAAGUGCACUCGAAACUCCCGAACUGGAGUCCCGGAGAGGAAGGUGGAAUUCUCGGUGUAGAGGUGAAAUGCGCAGAUAUCAGGAAGAACACCCGUGGCGAAAGCGGCUCUCUGGAACGGUACUGACGCUGAGACGCGAAAGCGUGGGGAGCGAACAGG
rnacentral:rRNA from 1 species